UUCCAGGAUGACGCAAUUCAACUUCGAUAGGGAAUAAGGAAUAAAAUCUAUAUGCAUGUACAGAUGAACAUGAACAAAGCUCGUUUUCGUGAGCACGUCUCUCUCGAUUGGCUUAAGAUACAAGUUCACAUAAAGAGAAAAGCACAAGUCGACGAGGUUGAGAGUCGUUGUUUUGAAAAAGAAACAUCACGGAAGAAAGAGAGAGAAAAAGAGAAGAGAAGAGGUGAGGUGGGAUAUGCAACAUAAGUUGCACCGAUUUUUCGAGGUCGAGUGAAAGACACGUGAAACGGAGUCAAAUAGAAAGAAAGAGAGAAAAAAUGGAAAUCUAGCUAACAAGAGAUAGGAAGAUGCGAGCUUAGUCAACAAAAAUCGGCUUUCCGUAUGUAUGACGUCAUCAGCAGAGGAGGAGAGUCGACUGGCGCCCGGUCGAUUUUUCAAUCCAAAAGAACGUAACUUCUCAGUAUCCUUGAAGCUAAUUACGACACGUAAAGAGAGUAAAGUAUGCAAUGAAUAUUGUGAAGAAGGAAAAAAAUAGAUGUCACAUAUUUAAGAAUUUAGAUCUACAACCUACUACUAUUACGUUUAAACGAAUCCUCUCUUAUCAAUCAAACUUGUAAUUAUAAUGCAAUAGUUAAACGCCGUCUUGAAUGAAAA